UACGAAGGGGGCUAGCGUUGUUCGGAAUUACUGGGCGUAAAGCGCACGUAGGCGGAUACUUAAGUCAGGGGUGAAAGCCCGAGGCUCAACCUCGGAACUGCCUUCGAUACUGCGGGUCUCGAGUCCGGGAGAGGUGAGUGGAAUUCCUAGUGUAGAGGUGAAAUUCGUAGAUAUUAGGAAGAACACCAGUGGCGAAGGCGGCUCACUGGCCCGGUACUGACGCUGAGGCGCGAAAGCGUGGGGAGCAAACAGG
rnacentral:rRNA from 1 species